UACGAAGGGGGCUAGCGUUGCUCGGAAUCACUGGGCGUAAAGCGCACGUCGGCGGCUUUCUAAGUCAGGGGUGAAAUCCUGGAGCUCAACUCCAGAACUGCCUUUGAUACUGGAGAGCUCGAGUCCGGAAGAGGUGAGUGGAACUGCGAGUGUAGAGGUGAAAUUCGUAGAUAUUCGCAAGAACACCAGUGGCGAAGGCGGCUCACUGGUCCGGUACUGACGCUGAGGUGCGAAAGCGUGGGGAGCAAACAGG
rnacentral:rRNA from 1 species